UCCAUCCUGAGUUUCAUUGG
rnacentral:siRNA from 1 species